AUCUACGGCCAUACCACCCUGAGUGCGCCCGAUCUCGUCUGAUCUCAGAACCUAAGCAGGGUCGGGCCUGGUUAGUACUAGGAUGGGAGAAAAAUAGAGAAAUAGUAAUUAUAAAAU
ensembl:rRNA 5S_rRNA 5S ribosomal RNA